rnacentral:sRNA from 1 species
GCCAGGUUCAGUGGUGCAUGCCUGUAAUCCCAGCAGCUCAGGAGGCUGGGACAGGAGGAUCUCUGGUUCAAAGCCAGCCUCAGCAACUUAGCAAGACCCUAAGCAACUCAGUGAGACCCUGUCUCUA